UCGGGAAUUUUGGGCAAUGGGCGAAAGCCUGACCCAGCAACGCCGCGUGAAGGAUGAAGUCUUUCGGGAUGUAAACUUCGUAAAAAUAGGAAGAAUAAAUGACGGUACUAUUUGUAAGGUCCGGCUAACUACGUGCCAGCAGCCGCGGUAAUACGUAGGGACCAAGCGUUGUUCGGAUUUACUGGGCGUAAAGGGCGCGUAGGCGGCGUGGUAAGUCACUUGUGAAAUCUCCGAGCUUAACUCGGAACGGUCAAGUGAUACUGCUGUGCUAGAGUACAGAAGGGGCAAUCGGAAUUCUUGGUGUAGCGGUGAAAUGCGUAGAUAUCAAGAGGAACACCUGAGGUGAAGACGGGUUGCUGGGCUGAUACUGACGCUGAGGCACGAAAGCGUGGGGAGCAAACAGGAUUAGAUACCCAAGUAGUCCCUGAGCGGGCUGGCAAGGCGCAU
rnacentral:rRNA from 1 species